UACGAGGGGGUGCAAGCGUUGCUCGGAAUUAUUGGGCGAAAGGGUAGGUAGGUGGUCUCAUUUGUCUGGGGUGAAAGCCUUGAGCUUAACUCAAGAAGUGCCCUAGAAACGGUGAGACUAGAGUCCUGGGAGAGGGUCGUGGAAUUCCCGGUGUAGCGGUGAAAUGCGUAGAGAUCGGGAGGAACACCAGCGGCGAAGGCGGCGACCUGGACAGGUACUGACACUCAACUACGAAAGCGUGGGGAGCAAACAGG
rnacentral:rRNA from 1 species